rnacentral:rRNA from 1 species
CAGGCCUAACACAUGCAAGUCGAGCGGUAGAGAGAAGCUUGCUUCUCUUGAGAGCGGCGGACGGGUGAGUAAUACCUAGGAAUCUGCCUGAUAGUGGGGGAUAACGUUCGGAAACGGACGCUAAUACCGCAUACGUCCUACGGGAGAAAGCAGGGGACCUUCGGGCCUUGCGCUAUCAGAUGAGCCUAGGUCGGAUUAGCUAGUUGGUGAGGUAAUGGCUCACCAAGGCUACGAUCCGUAACUGGUCUGAGAGGAUGAUCAGUCACACUGGAACUGAGACACGGUCCAGACUCCUACGGGAGGCAGCAGUGGGGAAUAUUGGACAAUGGGCGAAAGCCUGAUCCAGCCAUGCCGCGUGUGUGAAGAAGGCCUUCGGAUUGUAAAGCGCUUUAAGUUGGGAGGAAGGGCAGUUACCUAAUACGUGAUUGUCUUGACGUUACCGACAGAAUAAGCACCGGCUAACUCUGUGCCAGCAGCCGCGGUAAUACAGAGGGUGCAAGCGUUAAUCGGAAUUACUGGGCGUAAAGCGCGCGUAGGUGGUUUGUUAAGUUGAAUGUGAAAUCCCCGGGCUCAACCUGGGAACUGCAUCCAAAACUGGCAAGCUAGAGUAUGGUAGAGGGUAGUGGAAUUUCCUGUGUAGCGGUGAAAUGCGUAGAUAUAGGAAGGAACACCAGUGGCGAAGGCGACUACCUGGACUGAUACUGACACUGAGGUGCGAAAG